rnacentral:rRNA from 1 species
CAAGCUGUACUUGUACAGCGAAGUGGUUGAUGCCAUGCUUCCAGGAAAAGUCUCUAAGCUUCAGUUACACAGGAAUCGUACCCGAAACCGACACAGGUGGUCAGGUCGAGUAGACCAAGGCGCUUGAGAGAACUCUGCUGAAGGAACUAGGCAAAAUGGUACCGUAACUUCGGGAGAAGGUACGCUGUUGUUGGUGAUGGAACUCGCUUCCUGAGCUGACGACAGCCGCAGAAACCAGGCCGCUGCAACUGUUUAUUAAAAACAUAGCACUCUGCAAACACGAAAGUGGACGUAUAGGGUGUGAUGCCUGCCCGGUGCUGGAAGGUUAAUUGAUGGGGUUAGCGUAAGCGAAGCUCUUGAUCGAAGCCCCAGUAAACGGCGGCCGUAACUAUAACGGUCCUAAGGUAGCGAAAUUCCUUGUCGGGUAAGUUCCGACCUGCACGAAUGGCAUAAUGAUGGCGGCGCUGUCUCCAGCAGAGGCUCAGUGAAAUCGAAAUCGCUGUGAAGAUGCAGUGUACCCGCGGCUAGACGGAAAGACCCCGUGAACCUUUACUGCAGCUUGACACUGAACUUUGACCUUACUUGUGUAGGAUAGGUGGGAGGCUUUGAAGCUGGAACGCUAGUUCCAGUGGAGCCGUCCUUGAAAUACCACCCUGGUAAUGUUGAGGUUCUAACUCUGUCCCGUGAUCCGGGACGAGGACCGUGUCUGGUGGGUAGUUUGACUGGGGCGGUCUCCUCCUAAAGAGUAACGGAGGAGUACGAAGGUGCGCUCAGCGUGGUCGGAAAUCACGCGUAGAGUAUAAAGGCAAAAGCGCGCUUAACUGCGAGACCCACAAGUCGAGCAGGUACGAAAGUAGGUCUUAGUGAUCCGGUGGUUCUGUAUGGAAGGGCCAUCGCUCAACGGAUAAAAGGUACUCUGGGGAUAACAGGCUGAUACCGCCCAAGAGUUCAUAUCGACGGCGGUGUUUGGCACCUCGAUGUCGGCUCAUCUCAUCCUGGGGCUGAAGCAGGUCCCAAGGGUAUGGCUGUUCGCCAUUUAAAGAGGUACGCGAGCUGGGUUUAGAACGUCGUGAGACAGUUCGGUCCCUAUCUACCGUGGGCGCUGGAAAUUUGAGAGGAUCUGCUCCUAG